rnacentral:rRNA from 1 species
UACGGAGGGUGCGAGCGUUGUCCGGAAUCACUGGGCGUAAAGGGCGCGUAGGCGGCAUGCCAAGCGUGUGGUGAAAGCCCGGGGCUCAACCCCGGGUCGGCCGUGCGGACUGGCGUGCUCGAGCACUGUAGGGGCGGGUGGAAUUCCACGUGUAGCGGUGAAAUGCGUAGAGAUCAGGAAGAACACCCGUGGCGAAGGCGGCCCACUGGGCCGGUACUGACGCUGAGGCGCGAAGGCGUGGGGAGCGAACGGG